rnacentral:lncRNA from 1 species
CAUGAUGCCUGGCAUUGUGAUGGGUUCAUUCUUCUCUCAUCCAUCCAGCUCUACCUGCUUUCUCAUUGCCCCUGUGUGCUGUGCGUCAGGCAAGGAAGUGCCAGGAGAGUCCAGGAAGAACUCAAGGAAGCUCAGAUUUGAGUUCUUGGCCCCCUGACAACUUGCUCUGUGACCUCAGGAGAGUGGCUGACUCCUCUGAGCUCAGUUUCUUCUCUGUGGAAGAUUUGGCCAGUCUCAUAGCAGAGCUGGGGUAGAACUCAGUCCUCACCAAGGCCUGAUUCCCAGUCCUGAAGUGGGUUGGGGGUCAGGUGAUGGGUAUGAGGCAGAGGAGGGAGGAGGCAUGACUCAGGGCCUGGCUGACCCUGGGCCCUUGCCUCUGUGACUGCCCAGGGAACGGCUUCUGGCUCUUUCUCUCUGGGGUAACAACCCAAGACAGACUCACCCAGGAGCAUUCUCAGAUCCAAGGUAGUGGGGCUAACAGUGUACUUUGUCCUAAUGUCUCCCCUGCCACCCGUCUCAUCCUGUCACAGCCAUUCCUUUGCUGUUCCAAGGCUCACCCAAAUACCCCAGGGAAGACUCAUCUUAAACCAGAAUUAACCUUGUCAUCUCACUGGGAUUUAGGAUGUGGCCUGCAGCAGAGGGAGUGGGGUAUAGCCACUUUGUUCCAGGCCCACUUCUGCUUUGCUGUGCAACCUGAGCCAAGUUAUGUCCUUUCUGGGCUUUAGCUGUAUGAAUUGUGGCUGUUGUUCCCAUGAUUCCUACUCUAGGCUUUUGCUCAUGUGGCCUCUGCUAGUUUAAACUCUGCCUGUUUUUUUUUUUUA